rnacentral:tRNA from 1 species
GUUCAGUUGGUAGAGCAUGGUGUUUGCAACGCCAGGGUUGUGGGUUUGAUUCCCAU